UUUUAACAGAUUUAACUCAGAAUUGAAAACAAAAAUGGAAACAGGAAGACCUCUCAGCAAAACAUCACAGUAGCUCAGGGGAAGAUGAUGAUAGCAUGGCCUUGUGGGCAGCUUUGGAAGGAGAAAUGGACAAAUGAGGUAUACCUUGGAGAUAAAACAGGAAGCUGCUUUGCUUUUGUGCCUCCAUCAUCUCAACAUCUGGCCAUCAUUAUCAUCCUAAAGGAGAAGGCAGAACUAAAAGUUUACACAGGACCUUUCUCUACCUCAGCCCAGAAGGGACAGAUAUCAUAUAGGCUGCCUACAACCUAUAGGUCAGCACAAGGGAUGAGCUUACUUUUGCCCAGCAUGCUACCCCAUAUUCCUGGAUCCAGUAAAUGGUCUCAUUCCUGGAAUGAAACCCAGGAGUUUAUUUGAUAAUUGAAGAAAAAGAUGUUCUCUGUCCUUCUGACAUGAACAAGGAAUCAUAUGACCUCAGAACUAUUGACAUUCAUCUUGCAACCAUGAAGGAAGUCUGCCUGGGGGUACAGCUUCCAUAGUAGAAGCCAGAACAGAGAGAGGAAAAGAAAUGAGGCCCUUGACACCAUCAAGACUUAUCUCUAUGGCCUGAAUCAUCUCUGGCCUGAACAACCUCUUGACUUUUAGGUGAGACAAUGAAUUUCUUUUGUUAAAUCAGUGUGAAUUGGAUUUUCUGUUGAUUUCAACAAAAAGAAUGAUUGUUAUUAAUUAAUACCAACAAUGAUCCAGCCACC